rnacentral:rRNA from 1 species
UACGGAGGGUGCAAGCGUUAUCCGGAAUCACUGGGUUUAAAGGGUGCGUAGGUGGCUGUGUAAGUCAGGGGUGAAAGCCCUCCGCUUAACGGAGGAGGUGCCUUUGAUACUGCACAGCUUGAAUUAGGUUGAGGUUAGCGGAAUGUGGCAUGUAGCGGUGAAAUGCAUAGAUAUGCCAUAGAACACCAAUUGCGAAGGCAGCUGACUGGAUCUAUAUUGACGCUGAGGCACGAAAGCGUGGGGAGCGAACAGG